rnacentral:lncRNA from 1 species
CCACAAACAAGAAAUAAGAGGAUAGUGAUUAAAUAGCUGUAUCUUCUUAUAUGACAUGGUACACCUUACAAACUUAUUAAACAAAAACUGACUUGGUAACGACACAAUUUAUGCGGUCAACACUAAUAUGUGAAGACAUGAUUAAACAUUUAAUUUUUUUUUUUAAAAAAAAACCUCACUGUGAUGACAUCGAACAAACUUUUUUUGUAUGAAUGUGAUGACAUGGAACAUGUACCUGUGAAAGUCUAUUUCCGAGGAGUAUAAUAGAUGCUGCAUUUGAAGCAGCAGUUUCCUGUCCUUCAACUCGCAAAGCAAUCCCCACAUCAGCAAGAGCAAGAGAAGGUGCAUCAUUAAUGCCGAUUAUUGCAUGCUAUUUUAUUUAUGGUUCUUGUGUUUAGAUAAUUAUUUACGAUAUUUCUGCUGGAGUUACUAAUGCUCUUUUGUUUUUGUUUUUUAAUAUGUCAUAGUACACCUUACAACUUAUUAAACAAAAACUGACUUGGUAACGGUUAAACAAUUUAUACGGUCAACACUACUAUGUGAAGACAUGAUUAAACAUUGAAUUUAAAAAAGAGACUCACUGUGAUGACAUCGAACAAACUUUUUUUGUAUGAAUGUGAUGACAUGGAACAUGUACCUGUGAAAGUCUAUUUCCGAGGAGUAUAAUAGAUGCUGCAUUUGAAGCAGCAGUUUCCUGUCCUUCAACUCGCAAAGCAAUCCCCACAUCAGCAAGAGCAAGAGAAGGUGCAUCAUUAAUGCCGUCACCAACC